AUUGAACGCUGGCGGCAGGCCUAACACAUGCAAGUCGAGCGAGCGGCGGACGGGUGAGUACUGUCUGGCAAACUGCCUGCUGGAGCGGGAUACCUCCUCGAAACGGUAUCUAUUAUCGCAUACCCUCAGAUGUGCCCCGAUGGGAUUAGAUAGUGUGUGGGGUAACGGCUAACCUAGAAGACGAUCCCUAGCUGGUCUGAGAGGAUGACCAGCCACACUGGAACGUAGACACGGUCCAGACUCCUACGGGAGGCAGCAGUGGGGAAUAUUGCACAAUGGGCGCAAGCCUGAUUCAGCCAUGCCGCGUGUGUGAAGAAGGCCUUCGGGUUGUAAAGCACUGUCAGCGGGGAGGCGUUACCCGCAGAAGAAGCACCGGCUAACUCCGUGCCAGCAGCCGCGGUAAUAC
rnacentral:rRNA from 1 species